UUUAGAGUUUAGAAAUUGAAAUAAAAAAAAAGAAUUCAAAUUAAAAAGAAAAAAAGAUAAAGAUAAGUGGAUUGAAAGUGCUGAAAGCUCCAAUCAUCCCAUCAUCGUCAUUUUCUUUUCCUCUUUCUUCCCAGUUUCCUCAAUCACACACAAGUUCGGAAAAGAUAUUCACCCCUAAAGCAUCCCCUCCUCUUCUCAACCGGUGACCAGGCCUUCCCCCCUUCUUUCCUCCACCUCUCCAACCCUUAACUUCCCCGAUUGGAGCUCCGCUACUGUUUUUAAGAAGCUCAAGAUCUCGACUUUAACCUCGAAUAAAGGAAAAUGAAGAGACCCGAGCGGCGAUUGCCCGAUCCCCACCACCACUACCCAUGCGAGUUCAUCGGGUGGCCUCGGCCGUUGCCAACGACCUCGUCUCAAGCUGUUCCAGUCGACCUCCAGGCCACUGCCCUCCUUUCUCUCCCCCUUCUUAGUUUUUCUUUUUCUGGGAAAACUCUAAGACCGGUUUUUAUGGCGGUUCGAUUGGGUUCGAUGGGUUUUCAAAACAUUGCCCGGUUCUGAUAGAUUCAACCGGAUUUGACUUGCAAGAGAUGUCAAAGGUACGCAGCGCUCGGCAAUGAAAUUUGCCCGCGAAAAAACAGGUUUGUUUGAUUUCACAAUUGAAUUUUUAAGAUUUUAAUUUUAAAUUUAAUUCUAUUCACUACAUAAUAAAAAUUAAUUCUUUAAAGUCAAAAAGUAAACUCUAUAAGUAAAUUCACAUAUAAUUUUAUUAUACUUAAUUUAAUUUUUAAUACUAAAUUUUUUUAAUUAUUUAUUAUUUUUUUACAUUUUUUCUCAUAAUUCAACAACACAAUCAUUACAAUCCAAUUAAAAUUAAAAUUCAACUCUACUCAAUUCUAAAACCAAAUACACUUGAAUUUUCCGAAUUUUCUCUCUGACUCCCUGACCUAUUGCUCUUGCCCUCCCUAACACUUAUUUAUCUUCACACUCGGGAGGCAAUUGCGGUCGUUUCGACGAUUAUUCAAUCUCUCUCUCCCAUUUAUUUAUCUUCACACUCGAAGUCUCAAUUUGCUACGGCAACUGCAAGUAACAGGGUCCAAGUCUGUAUGGUAAUGCCGAUUUUGUACGUUCAAACUCUUCUUAUUAGUUCCUUUAAGCAUGCCACUUGCCCCACAGCUUCCUGAGUCAUCUAGAGCUGACCCUGCGCAUAGUGUUAUCGAACCCGGUAUGUAUUGCUCGUAUUAGUUCAAUGACUUAUAAAAGUAAUCCUUAUUUGCAUUUUUUUUUUUUGAUUUUUUUGUUCGAUAACUGAAGCAAAGAAGAGGAAAAGAGGGCCAACAACAUGCAAGGAUUUCUGGGGGCAACGUAAAGUUGUUCGAAUUCCUGUUCUUCUCAAUGAUAAGUUACAGCCAAUUUGUGCAACCGCAAAAAAGUCGGCUCGAUUUUUAGGGGCAAUGGUUAGAAAUGGGGCAUAUGCACCUCUCAAUUAUAAAGACUGGAGGCUCAUGCCUGAUCAUUUUAAAGUUAAUAUGUGGAAGAUGGUCCAGGAAAAGUUUGGUAUCGAUCCAUUAGCAGAAAGUUGGGUCAUGCAGUCGUUAACCAAAAAGUGGAGAGCCUUUAUCAAAAGGGGUGUAGCGUAGUGGCGUACGUCAUCGCCUCUUGAUUUAAAAAUCGAACGAGAGAAAGUGGGUAGCGAAAAUAGCAAGAAGAAGAAGUCAACACAUACUGCGGGAACAAAAGGUUUUGCAGUCAUACGAGAUGAAAUGCUAGAAGAUGCUAUUCGAAUUCAAGGAAAGGAUGAUCGACCCGCAGCAGAUGACAUCUUUGCUCGAACUUUGGGAGAAGAUAAGGGUUCAUAUGUGAGCACUUUAUGGGGUGCGAAACGGAGUCGGUUUUCUAUAAUGAAGAUCGCCUUUGAGAGCAAGAAACUAUCGGAAGAAAAAGUGCAUAUACUGGAGAAAGAAAUGAACCAAAUGAAAGUUAAGAUGCAUAUGCUGACAACAUUUAUUCAAACCAAGUGCCCACAUAUGAACUUAGAUCGUUUGGACGAAACGGCAAAUGAGGUUCGUGUAACUUUUACAACUCCAACUGGUCCACCACGAGCUGAUUACCAGUGCCAACCUCACUCGGAACAAAUCUUGAAUGAGGAGAACAACUUGAGUGGCUAUGUGGAUCCGGUUGGUGAUUCUCCAAAUCCUGUCCUUGAAGCGCUUGUUCCACUUGUGCGUCAAAAAGAGGAUCCGAAAUUUCUCAGUUCGUCCCACUUCUGUGACUCCUACUGAUUCACCACGAGCUGAUUUCUAGUGCCAACUUCAAUUGGAACAAAUCUUGAAUGGGGACGACAACCAUUUGAGUGGCUCUAUGGAUCAGGUUGAUGAUUCUCUAAAUCCUGCCCUUGAAGCACUAGCUCCCCUUGUACGAGCUUCUACGUCAAAGAAAAGAUCUGAAAGUGCUCAAUUGGAUGAGGGAAGUCGUGCAAUGAUCGAGAAGCUCCUUCCGCAGGUUGGCCAAUAUCAAGACAGCCAAUCCAAAACGGAUGGAGAUACUGUCUUCCUAAAUAGUCUUAUGCAUCAAGGCGAUCUUGUGGCGAGAGGGACAUUAAUCACUAAGGAUCCAUCAGCUACAGUGGCAAGUGUAUCUUUAGGGAAGGGCUUUUCAGCUACAGUGGAGAUGUGAUCGGAAAAACUAUUGCAUGGCCCUCUUCCUUUGUAACUUGCACUAAAUUGAUUUUAUAUGAGUUCCUUCAUUGACUUGUAUUAAUUUGCUUGGGGUUCAUUUCUUCGAGUUUUAUCAUCAAUUCUGGCUAAAUAGAAGUUGGCAAUUAUUCGUAUAUUUUUGUUCUUUAUGCAGGCUAAGAAAAUUUGAUGAGUUUUGAAUGUUACACCCGCAUGCCGUGGACAAGAAAUUUCGGAUGAGUCUAGCUUUCAAGAGAAGAGAAUAAGUAUUAGGCAAUAAAUAAAUCCGUCUUAUCUGUUUUCUUUCAUAAAUACAAUUAUGCAUUGGUGCAUUACUUUA